GGCGACGAUCAGUAGCCGGUCUGAGAGGAUGAACGGCCACAUUGGAACUGAGACACGGUCCAGACUCCUACGGGAGGCAGCAGUGGGGAAUCUUCCGCAAUGGGCGCAAGCCUGACGGAGCAACGCCGCGUGAGUGAAGAAGGGUUUCGACUCGUAAAGCUCUGUUGUCGGGGACGAACGUGGAGACGGCGAAUAGCCGUUUCCAAUGACGGUACCUGACGAGGAAGCCACGGCUAACUACGUGCCAGCAGCCGCGGUAAUACGUAGGUGGCGAGCGUUGUCCGGAAUUAUUGGGCGUAAAGGGAGCGCAGGCGGGAAGGUAAGUCUAUCUUAAAAGUGCGGGGCUCAACCCCGUGAGGGGAUGGAAACUAUCUUUCUUGAGUGCAGGAGAGGAAAGCGGAAUUCCUAGUGUAGCGGUGAAAUGCGUAGAUAUUAGGAGGAACACCAGUGGCGAAGGCGGCUUUCUGGACUGUAACUGACGCUGAGGCUCGAAAGCGGGGGGAGCGAACAGGAUUAGAUACCCUGGUAGUCCACGCCGUAAACGAUGAAUGCUAGGUGUAGGAGGUAUCGACCCCUUCUGUGCCGGAGUUAACGCAAUAAGCAUUCCGCCUGGGGAGUACGGCCGCAAGGCUGAAACUCAAAGGAAUUGACGGGGGCCCGCACAAGCGGUGGAGUAUGUGGUUUAAUUCGACGCAACGCGAAGAACCUUACCAGGGCUUGACAUUGAGUGAAAGGACAAGAGAUUGUCCCCUCUCUUCGGAGACACGAAAACAGGUGGUGCAUGGCUGUCGUCAACUCGUGUCGUGAGAUGUUGGGUUAAGUCCCGCAACGAGCGCAACCCCUAUCCUUUGUUGCCAGCACGCAAUGGUGGGAACUCAAAGGAGACUGCCGCGGACAACGCGGAGGAAGGCGGGGAUGACGUCAAGUCAUCAUGCCCCUUAUGUCCUGGGCUACACACGUACUACAAUGGGAUGGACAGAGAGCAGCGAAGCCGCGAGGCCAAGCGAACCCCAUAAACCAUCUCCCAGUUCGGAUUGCAGGCUGCAACCCGCCUGCAUGAAGUUGGAAUCGCUAGUAAUCGCAGGUCAGCAUACUGCGGUGAAUACGUUCCCGGGCCUUGUACACACCGCCCGUCACACCACGGAAGUCAUUCACACCCGAAGCCGGCAGGCUAACCUUUAUGGAGGCAGCCGUCUAAGGUGGGGGCGAUGACUGGGGUGAAGUCGUAACAAGGUA
rnacentral:rRNA from 1 species